CCUACGGGUGGCAGCAGUGGGGAAUAUUGCACAAUGGGGGGAACCCUGAUGCAGCGACGCCGCGUGAGUGAAGAAGUAUUUCGGUAUGUAAAGCUCUAUCAGCAGGGAAGAAGAUGACGGUACCUGACUAAGAAGCCCCGGCUAACUACGUGCCAGCAGCCGCGGUAAUACGUAGGUGGCAAGCGUUGUUCGGAAUAACUGGGCGUAAAGGAUGCGUAGGCGGUUAAACAAGUUAUAUGUUAAAUAUAGAGGCUUAACCUGUAGAAAGCAUAUAAAACUGUUUAACUAGAGUGCAGGAGAGGUAAGUGGAAUUCCUAGUGUAGCGGUGAAAUGCGUAGAGAUUAGGAAGAACACCAGUGGCGAAGGCGACUUACUGGACUGUAACUGACGCUGAGGCAUGAGAGCAUGGGGAGCAAACAGGAUUAGAUACCCGUGUAGUC
rnacentral:rRNA from 1 species